CGCACAUUGCGCCCUUUGGUAUUCCGAAGGGCAUGCCUGUUCGAGCGUCAUUAUCACCCCUCAAGCCCCGUGCUUGGUGUUGGACGGCCUGGUCGAGCGAUCGACCCCUCCUAAAGACAAUGACGGCGGCCUGUGGUUCCCCCGGUACACUGAGCUUUCUGAGCACGUAUCGGAUCAAGGGCGCCCGGGACCCGGUCCUCUCCUUUCACUAGGAAACUUCUCAAGGUUGACCUCGGAUCAGGUAGGAAUACGCGCUGAACUUAA
rnacentral:misc_RNA from 1 species